rnacentral:rRNA from 1 species
CCUACGGUAGGCAGCAGUGAGGAAUAUUGGUCAAUGGGCGGAAGCCUGAACCAGCCAAGCCGCGUGAAGGAAGAAGGCGCCAUGCGUCGUAAACUUCUUUUGUCGGGGAACCAAGGUCGCCACGUGUGGCUAUGUGAGUGUACCCUAAGAACAAGCAUCGGCUAACUCCGUGCCAGCAGCCGCGGUAGUACGGAGGAUGCGAGCGUUAUCCGGUUUUAUGGGGUUAAAAGGGUGCGUAGGGGGUUUUUUAAGUCAGCGGUAAAAUGUCUGGGCCAAACCCAGGACUGCCGUUGAAACUGGGGAGCUUGAGUGGGCGAGAGGUAUGCGGAAUGCGUGGUGUAGCGGUGAAAUGCAUAGAUAUCACGCAGAACUCCGAUUGCGAAGGCAGCUUACUGGCCCCUGACUGACGCUGAGGCACGAAAGCGUGGGGAUCGAACAGGAUUAGAUACCCUAGUAGUC